rnacentral:rRNA from 1 species
AUUGAACGCUGGCGGCAUGGCUAAAACAUGCAAGUCGAGGGAGAAGUCAUCUUCGGAUGAUGGACACCGGCGAAAGGGCUAGUAAUGGUAUCGAACGUACCCCGAAGUCGAGGAUAGCCGUGGGAAACUGCGGGUAAUACUCGAUAAUCUCUACGGAGGAAAGCUCCGGCGCUUUGGGAGCGGCGAUACUCCUAUCAGGUUGUUGGUGAGGUAAAGGCUCACCAAGCCGAAGACGGGUAGCGGGUGUGAGAGCAUGACCCGCAGCAUCGGGACUGAGACACUGCCCGG